rnacentral:lncRNA from 1 species
ACACUAAUACACUGAGUGUCCUGAACUGUCUGUCUCUUUAGAAAAUUACUAAAUCCCAGAGCAGCUUUCAGAUGCCCCUUGUCGUAAAGAUAGCUUUUAGAACACGUAAGAGCACAUAGCAGCCAUAAACAGAUUAUGGAGUUUAUUCAGUGGGUUACUUAUGUAUGGGAGGUGUCUAGCAGCCAUGCUCCUUCAGCGGGUUAUUUAUGUAUGGGAGAUGUCCAGUGGAUACUGGAGAGCUUUAGUGAUCCAGAAACUACAUCCUGUCUUCCUGUCUCCUGGCUUAGGGGUGAAAAUUUGUGUUUGAUAAUGUCAUUGCACCCAGUUGCUGAGUGGAGGCAUUUAAGCACAUUCCCAGUUUCCUCCGUAGCUCUUCUUGUAAUGGAACUUCCCCAGAGGCCAUUACUAUAGAAGGAACAGAAGAACAGUACAUGCCACGCUUAGAAACACAGUUGACCCAGGCGCUGUGAGUCCAAGUCUGGCCACCUUGGGCUUUAUGUGCCAAUAUGUCUUCUCUUCCUUAAAAUCGUCAUGAGCACACUUGCUCAUGGGGUAAAAACAUUUCCCAUGAGGACAAAUAUGUCAGGUGGCUAGUGUCCGUGUGUGGCUACCAACCAAGAACAAGUUAACAGUGGAACUGAGAGGCAGUAAAAGGCUGGAGGCUGAAGGCAAAAGUGGGCUUCAUGGCAAGAGGGGUUGCCUGGGAAGGAUGGGUAUAGAAAGCAUCCUUCAUCUGUAGUCUGGGCAUAUGCAAAACCAGAGUGUUGUGCAGCCUCAGUCACUCUGGGCAUCUCUACUCAUUAGCAAUUCCCACUCUGUCUUCUUUGACUGUCACUAAAGCCCUUUUGUUCCCAUUGACCAAGAAGCACACACUUAUGUGUGGUUUGUUCCAGAAUCGCCUGACCUUGACAGCAGGUUCUUUUACAGACCCUGAAGGCUCAGACAGGGAGGAGUGUUGAUACACCUACAGUUGGGGCUCUUACUUUCCAGUUCAUAAGACUCUCACAAGCUCUGCUUCCCUAGGACACAGGAAAUAUCAGUCAUCGUGCCAGGGCAGCCCUGUGGCUUCCAUCUGUAGGGAGCCUCUCCCAAGGACCUGGAGGGUCCAUGUUGAAUUUAGUCUAAAGAAAGCUCAGUUUUGCAUCUGCCUAUCUGAGACUGCACCAAGAUACUCGGGACUCCCAAGUCUAGCAGAGUCAUGGCCACCCGAAUGCUAGCCUGGGUGGUGCAGAGGAUCAGAGGAUGAGGCUGCCCUGGGUAGGAUUCUGUUCACAGCCAUUGGCAUCUCCUGGGAAACAGGGACCACACACUCAUGUAAACCGGGCAGAUAUAGGCCUGCCAUUACCAUCCCCUGCUCUGAAAGUAAUGACUGACCCCAGCAUGAGGAGCAAAAAUUGAGGAAGAAUAAACACUGAAUACAAAAUAAGUAAGAUGAGAAAUAAAGGACUUCACAUAGCCAAGAAGUUAUUCAGGAAUUAUUCAGAAUAAAACUGUCUUUAUUAUUUCAUAAAACUCAUCUUUAUAUCUCUACCCUUGUAUUUAUAGCUUGUUAACGGUUCACAUAGAUUUAUAAAUAAUUGAACAAUGCUAGAGACCCAGUGCAUAAAAGAGGACACGUUUCUUUCUUAACAGCCCUUAAAUAUUCAUCAUGAAGAUAAAAUUUUCAAGCAAAAUAAAACACUUAAAAAAAUAGCCAAGAGGCAUAGACAGACAUUUUGGAGGGGAAAAAAAAAGAUUACUUUGAGAAAAACUGAUUUAUAUAGUUCUUAAGAGGCUCAAAUUUAUUCCUAAAGCGCUAACUCUGAGUCUGGAUGUGUUUGAUCCUUGGGGGAGUGCUGUGACCUUCAUGCCUGCCUCACUUUCAAGUCUAACAGCACAAGAGAUAGAAAAUUUUCACUGCUGUGAAGAAACCCAAACAGUGUUCAUGGCUUAGAACACUUUACAUGCCAUGAAAUAUCAGGGCCAAACCCAAUAUGGGGCUUUCAAACCCUUAGGUCUCCAUUGAAAGGCUCCCGGGCCAUAUGUGCACCGUAAUGAGAACAUGCAGAUGUACAUGAUAUAUGUGUAGGGUUAGCAAAGAAAGUAUGCAUAGAAAAUAAUAGUGAUGAUGGUAUCCAGUCACGCAAAGCACAUGCAUGACAGCGCAGGGGCUCAGACACGUUGCAUGCUUACACAUACAUAGAGAGGGAAAAGGCAAGAGACAGGCACAAUACAUGUGCAACUGUAUUAAGCUCCUGCAAUAUAAAUAACAAACUCCUCUUCUAUCAGACAUAUGUUGGUAGUGAUGCCCUAUCAUACAUUAUAUAACAUAUAACUAACUCAGUCAUAUAUCCUGAGUUGAACUAAGAAAACCUACGAGAGUAUAGGUAAGCUGGGUGCUGUGGCAUGUGCUUAGUUCUCGCUACCCAGAAGACCAAGUCCAGGAGUUGAAACUAACUGGGCAACAUAAGACCUACACCUACAGGGUAGAAAGGUGGGAGAAACACCCUUGUUCGCACUUCAAAUUCUUCUAUUUUUAAAUCUACUAAUAGGUUUAAAAUCUUUUUGGCUUUUUUUUCCCCAUUAAGGUUAUACUAGAUUGAUUUUAUGGCAUUAGCAAGUACUUUGAGCUCAUCAACAGAAGUUGCUAAAUAAUAAUGUAAUUAAAAUCAAGUUAGUUCAAUAUAGGAACAGAGACAUUAAGAGUUAUUAAGCUUCCUUGGCUAAGUGCAAGUGCUGUGUGUGUGUGUGUGUGUGUGUGUGUGUGUGUGUGUGUGUGUUAGAUGGUGAGCGAGUUGAUGGGUGGAUAUAUGGAUGGUAGAUAUGUAGACUGUUGGAUAUAUGGAUGGUGGAUGUCAGUUGAGAAGAUAGGUGGACGGUGGGUUCAUGUGUGGGUGGGUAGGUGGAUAGCAGAAUGGACUGAUAGAUCAGCCCAGUCUUGGGCAAGAACAUAAUCGAUCUCAUAUAGAGAAACCAGAUUAUGUGUUGCUGAAUGCUAACUUUGCUUAAAAGUCACUUUGCUUUAGUGAAUGAAUCUAGCUUUCCUCUUCCUUCUAUUAAACCAUGGACUGAAGUUAAUUCUUUCAUUGGAAGAAAUGUCUGAGAAUCUGCCCCUGAUUCUUUGAAUAGAGAAGAGGUGUCCUGCAUGCAUGAGAAAGGCUCACACAGAGGACAGAUUUAAACAGGGGCACUUUAUCAUGGUUACUGCUGGCCUCUCAAUGGUCAAAGCAAAUAAUGUCAUGACCAUCUAAACUGUGAGGCCACAAGAGCACUGCUGCCUCUUCUGAAGAGUCCCAUCCGAAGCCGUCAGCAGGCAUCAGUUCAAGCGCUACAGAAGCUGCUCCCACCUAGCCAUGAGCUCUCCUCGGAUGGAUGUUUUCUACUUCACUCCUUCUGUAAUGACUGGGUCAUUGAGAUCAUUGCCUGCAAUUAGUGACAGUCAGGCGAGCGAGAGGAUUGUGGGAUGUCUUUCCCUAGCCCCACUGACCAUGGACAUUUCACACUAACCCGGUUCCUAGCUAGAUAGUUCUGUGUUGCCACAAAGAUAUUUUAAAAAAUCAAGAAUGUUAAGAGAGAAGGAACCAGAGAGGAGAGCAUGAGUUGUGUGCUACAAAUAACCCAGUCAGCUGCGCACGGCUCAUGAUUCAGGGCAUUUUCGUGACAUGUUAUCACUGUCUUGAACAGGAAGUUUGUAUUUUAAAAAUCUGGGGUUUUAAGUUAAUGGACAAUAGAGAAUUAUGUCUUAUCUUUAGAACUAUUGUAUCAUUUUUUUUAAAAUGUGACUUUAGUCAUUACUAUUGAAAUGGUCAUCUGGCAACCUAUUUUUAAAACACAAUUCUCUAGUAGUUUUAAUUCAGGUCAAUGGUGACUCCCCUGUAGAGGCAAUUGUUACUUUAUUGUAGGUUAUACUACCCUCAUUCUAAUUACUAUCUCUGCAUUGUAGCAGUAACAAACACCCUAGAAUGUCUAAAAUAAGAAGAGUACUUUGUAAAUGACAUUAUUUUUAAAAAUUAUUAUUAUUAUUAAUUUUUGCCUAAUGAGGAGUCCUUGCCUGUGCAAAUCACCACAGAGUUAGGAGUAAAAUUUUAUACUAGAAAGCAGCAUUUUUUUUCCAACAGAAUUC